rnacentral:lncRNA from 10 species
UUCCUUUUCCUUUUUCUUCCUCACUGCUAUCACUUUAGUCCAGGACAUCAUCAUUUCUUGCUUAAACCGCUGAACACUGCUUCCAAAUGUCCUCUAACCUGUUUCCUUUACAGACCAUGCCCUGCACUACUACAAUAGUUCCAUCCUUAAAACACAUAUUUGAGGCCGGGUGCAGUGGCUGACGGCUGUAAUCCCACCACUGUGCCCGGCCUGAGAUAGGUUUUAUCAUCUCAAUUUUGUAAAUGAGAAAACUGAACACUCAAAGAGAUUAAAUCACUUGCCUGCUGGCCGCCAGCUGUGAACAGCGAGAACCAGGAUUUUCCCAGGUAGAGGUACCCUAGAUCUUUAUGUCAAGUUGACUAUAAAGAUUCCUACAGUUAAAGCCAAAUUAUCCUCAAAAAAGCAACUCUAGAUGUGCACACAUGUACACACAUAUCUGAACAUGUACCAGUUUGGCUUCAAGC